ensembl:piRNA 21ur-15166 ncRNA
UAUUUUAACUCAGUCUAACUC